AUGAGGAUGUUGCGGAUGGCUGGUGUCCCCAGAGGACGUACUCCUUGACCUUUUGGGGCCUGGAGACCUGGGGCGGUGGCCGCCCGUGGGAAUUGCAGAGGACAGUUGUUCCUGUACCCGCUGAGCAGGUGGUUGUCCCCGCCAGGCCCUGGCAGUGCGCACGUUCCCGAGCUGUCCAGGCCGGACUGACAGCCAAGUCCCCGGCAUUUGUGCGCAGAACUCAAGUGGUCCACCUGGACACGCUGUACCCGCGCGCGGGUGACCUUGACCAUCUCCACACAGUGUUUUCCCGGAAAGAACCCUGGGAGCGCGGUCUGCCCUGAUCGCUGGCAGGGGAGACCCUGCAGAGAGCGGCUGGAAGGUACUGGUUGAGCUCUCUUUGAAGUCUGCCUGAUCUGGCUUGAUCUGGCUUCUUGCAGUGUUUUCGUGAAUGUAUGCUGUGCGCGUGCAUAUGCUCAAAGAGGCCAGAAGAGGGCAUCAGACACCUUGGAGCUGGAGUUCCAGGCAGCCUGGUUGGAGUCUUUGGAGCGGGUUAUAGGCCAGGCUGGAAAAGAGUUCUCCUGAAGAUCAGGAAAGGGCCUGACAGCCGAGCGCUCUCCAGCUCCAGUCCCUUACAUUUUGUCUCUGAAUUGUGGCGUCCUUUCCUCCUCCAUUUCUUUGGUCAUGACCUCAAAUUCUGUGUUUUGGUGCAAGGUGUAUGUGAAUGAAAAGAUAAACAAAGAGCACAUUCAAUGUCUUUGCGAGGAACACGGUGUCUGUUAACUCCUAAAGCAGUGUUUUAAGACAGGGCUUGCUCAAAGCCUGCAGAGACGUAUUUCUAACAUUUCAACAGUAGAGGGCAGCACUGCCCUUUUUUGGAAAAUAUUGAGGGGGCAACCACCAAUUGCGAUUUUUGUUUUUAGUUUUACUUUAUCCGUACAUGUUCUUUUAAAUUUUUAUUUUCCUUAUUGAGUAUGUGAUUUUAUAGAAAUAAUUUAGUAUUUUCUGUUGCUUAGUACGGGAAGACCGAGUGAUUGGUGAAAAACAGGUUUCAGGUGUCUUGCCCAGGUUCUGUCUGACAAAGGUAAACAAUGGCUUGACCUUAGGUAACCAGAUAGCGGUAUGUAUGAACAAAGUAAAUGCUUCUGAACUUUCUAGCUAGAAGUCCUUCUGAAGCAGGAUGGGGUUUUGUUUUUAAGUGGUGUAAAUCAUAUGGUCAUAAUCCUGAUGAUGGCUUCUACGUUCUUCCUCACUGAUUUCAUUCUGCUGUGGCAAUGCCCAUUUCUGGCACAUGUCGGACAGAUCAGGGCAAUCACUGGCGGAACACAGGUAUUGUGACUUUAAGGAAAGAUGCUCCUCAGGUGGGGGAGGAACUUUGCUGAAGCUGGAGUUGACUGAAAGUGUGCAGAAACAGCCCCUGAGAUAGUCUUGUAUGCUAGCCCCAUCCUAUUACUAUGACUUGAAUUUCUCUCACCAAUAAAAGCGAAA